rnacentral:rRNA from 1 species
AUGUCUGAGGCAUCCGCUGAUACAAAUACAGAAGAACCCAGUGAUGAAAAUACAGGAAAUGAUCAAACAAACUCAGAAAUUGACCAAGAGUUGGGUGCAUCUAGCAUUUUUCAGCCUCCUGACGAUCCUCAUGACGAUUCUGCUCUGGAUUCUGCCUCAGAUCAGGAGCAAACAUUCUCCCUGCAGCAGACUGAUAUGUCCAGCGAUGCCACAUUGCAUCACCCGGCAUCCAAUGGGCCGACCGCGUCCCGCUCGCCCAUGCGUUCCUCUGCGCGCGAAUCAAGUGUCUCCAUGUCAUCAGACAUGACACCUCGGGGUUCUCCCUCCUCCGGGUCUUCGACAUCACGUGGUGGCCACACUGCUACACCCGGAUCCCUUGCUCCAAGCGGAUCUGAUUCGGUGUCUGACAACAGCAGCCCAACAGGAUCUUUCGUGCCACCGAGCCCUGCAACGCCUCCUGUUGCUACACAAGAUCUUCCUAUUGCUGCUCGCAACCGUCUAAAAAAAGGAAUACGCCAACCAAGAAUAUUUACCGAUGGUACUGUUCGUUAUGGAAAGCUUACUAUUACAGGAGAACCACAAAAUCUUUCUGAGGCAAUUCGUGAUAAAAAUCGGCAUCAUGCUAUGAAAGAAGAAUAUCAGGCACUUAUGCAUAACAAAACUUGGCACCUUGUACCCUCUAGUUCUAACAAGAACUUGAUUGAUUGCAAAUGGGUCUACCGCAUCAAGAAAAAGUCAGAUGGUACAGUUGACAGGUAUAAAGCCCGCCUUGUUGCAAAAGGUUUCAAACAACGUUAUGGUAUUGACUAUGAGGAAACUUUUAGUCCUGUUGUCAAAGCAGCUACUAUACGUCUUGUGUUGGCUAUUUCAAUCUCUCGUGGUUGGAGCUUACGACAGUUAGACGUGAAGAAAGCGUUUUUACAUGGUGUUCUGGAAGAGGAAGUCUAUAUGAAACAACCUCCUGGUUUUGAAGAUCCUCGAGCUCCACAUCAUGUUUGCAGACUUGACAAAGCUCUCUAUGGUUUAAAACAAGCUCCUCGUGCAUGGUACUCUCGGCUUAGCUCUAAACUUCACAGUCUUGGCUUUAUAUCAUCCAAAGCAGAUACAUCCUUGUUUCUCUACAACAAGUCAGGCAUCACUAUUUUUAUGUUGAUAUAUGUGGAUGAUAUUAUUGUGACCAGUUCCUCAGACCAGGCGAUCUCUGCUCUAUUAAAAGAUUUAAGCCAAGAUUUUGCUCUCAAAGAUUUAGGUGAUCUUCACUUCUUUUUGGGCAUGGAAGUCAAGAAAGUUCAUGGUACAUUGGUCUUAACACAAGAAAAAUAUGUCGCUGACUUUCUUAAAAGAGUGGGCAUGAAUAAUUGUACACCAUGUCCUACACCAUUAUCUUCUUUAGAAAAAUUGUCACUUACAGAUGGCACACCUCUUGGUCCUGAUGAUAGUACACACUAUAGAAGUAUUAUUGGUGCUUUGCAAUAUUUAACCCUCACACGGCCUGAUCUAUCUUUUUCAGUCAAUAAAGUUUGUCAAUUUCUUCAUGCACCUACAACAACUCAUUGA